AGAGUUUGAUCAUGGCUCAGAACGAACGCUGGCGGCGCGCCUAAUACAUGCAAGUCGAGCGAGAAGACGUAGCAAUACGUUUGUAAAGCGGCGAACGGGUGAGGAAUACAUGGGUAACCUACCCUCGAGUGGGGAAUAACUAGCCGAAAGGUUAGCUAAUACCGCAUACGACUCCUGGUCUGCGGAUCGGGAGGGAAAGCGAUACCGUGGGUAUCGCGCUCUUGGAUGGGCUCAUGUCCUAUCAGCUUGUUGGUGAGGUAACGGCUCACCAAGGCUUCGACGGGUAGCUGGUCUGAGAGGACGAUCAGCCACACUGGCACUGCGACACGGGCCAGACUCCUACGGGAGGCAGCAGUAAGGAAUAUUGCGCAAUGGGCGACAGCCUGACGCAGCGACGCCGCGUGGGGGAUGAAGGUCUUCGGAUUGUAAACCCCUUUCGGCAGGGAGGAUGGAAUGGGUAACCAUUCGGACGGUACCUGCAGAAGCAGCCACGGCUAACUUCGUGCCAGCAGCCGCGGUAAUACGAAGGUGGCAAGCGUUGUUCGGAUUUACUGGGCGUACAGGGAGCGUAGGCGGUUGGGUAAGCCCUCCGUGAAAUCUCCGGGCCUAACCCGGAAAGUGCGGAGGGGACUGCUCGGCUAGAGGAUGGGAGAGGAGCGCGGAAUUCCCGGUGUAGCGGUGAAAUGCGUAGAGAUCGGGAGGAAGGCCGGUGGCGAAGGCGGCGCUCUGGAACAUUUCUGACGCUGAGGCUCGAAAGCGUGGGGAGCAAACAGGAUUAGAUACCCUGGUAGUCCACGCCU
rnacentral:rRNA from 1 species